ACAAUAGAAUGCACACUCAAUGUGAUUCAAGGCAGGCUUUUAUACUUUUUUACUGUGGCCAGAUUUGGCUGUCAGGUUUGGUUGGCUUUGUGCCUUUUAGACGGCUACCAUCUUAUUUCAUAAAUACCUCUCGGUUUCCCAAACAUAUCUCACCAGCCGACUCUGUGUGCGCUGCUAAUGUCUUUUCUUUUCUAACGUCACGGUUAACACUUCUAUAUAUGGUCAUACUUCCUGCUACUUCUCAGGCUGUGAUUAUAUAGAACUGAAGUUGACAGGAACUUGACAGCAGGCUUUAAUUCAUUUUAAAGCUCACGUCAUGUUCUUGUGCUGUGUGUGUGUGUGUGUGUGUGUGUGUGUGUGUGUGUGUGUGUGUGUGUGUGUGUGUGUGUGCGCGUGUGCGUGUGCGUGUGCGUGUGUGUGUGUCUCUGCUCUUCCCCAUCGUCCCCGCAUUAUAAACUGUAAUGAAAGUGAAUGUUAGCAGCUCCAUUUUGUGUGGAGUGAAAACUAAAAGAUUUCAGGAGUAAAAACACAAAUGAUGGAGGGAAAGAGAUCAGACUCACCAGAACCCAGCUGUGUGUCCAUGAAGAGUGACGCAUCAAUGGGACAUCCAAUUGCCUUCAGAGACAGAGACAGUCCUACUGAUGUGAGACCACAAAACUCAAACAUCAUCAGAAAUCAGCUGGACUCUAUAUUCAAGGAGCUGGAACACAAAGUCAUCACUCUGAUAAAGAAUGAGCUGAAGAGGU